CGGGGUGUAGCGUAGCCAGGUAGCGCGCCACGUUCGGGACGUGGAGGCCGGAGGUUCGAAUCCUCUCACCCCGA
rnacentral:tRNA from 1 species